CCCGAGGAGAAACGGUGAUGUGCCAGGAGGCCUGGGAGGCGAAUGUCAUUUCAUCACUGUUCUCCCUGGAGAGUAAUGUCCGUAGCCAGACAUAUGCUCAUGGCCUGGAAUGAAGUCGACUGCAAUUACAUCCUGAGGGAGUCACUCAACAGGGGUUUUGUGGAGGCAGGACGCAGGCUGUGGUGGAGCUGCACAUGUGCUGUUAGACCUCCGACUGCACUCCCUCUGCCUUCAGCUUUGUGGGAACGAGGAGCAGCAGGCUCAGAAGUACAGCCAGUCUGGUGCACAUCUGGAGGCAGUAAUUGGAGUCUUUGCAGAAGCAGCUGCAAGUUGGGUAAAUGGCGGUGUAUGCCAGCUGAGUGGAAAGAUGGCACAGGCUACUGGGUAUCACCGAGGAAUUCCUGGUUGAGAGAUUAUGGCCAGAACUCUAUGGGAAGACAGACAACUGCAAGGAGUAGGAUCAGCAAAAUUCCUGAGCACUUGCAAAGUCCCUUCUGCCAAAUGUUGUAAUCUCAAUAUUCAGGCCACUUUCAUGGGUUCUCAUGAGUGAUCUAUGAAGGUAUGAAGAGAAGCCUAGUUGUAUAGAGCAAAUACUCCUUACUUUGAAGAUCUCCUUUGAAGGGCCAAUGGAGAAAUGCCCUGAAAUUAGAGAUAUUUCAGAGAAAAAAGGAGGGAAUCACACUGACACAAGAAAGAAAGCUGUUAAAAUACAAUGAUUUACUGUUCAUCAAGGUGCUUCAGUUCAGGGGAUUUUAGUGCAUUGUUAUUAGCGUGUAGAAGUACAAUGUUUUCAUAUGCCCCAAGUUCAGGGUUUUCCUCUAUGGGCAGUUUUUCUGCACCUGCUUGCAAAAGCUGUGACACAGUUGUGUGUCUUGAUGUCAGUCUCCUAUCAGAGCAGCAGGUGGAGGAGGUGAUGUUUUCAGGUGCUGACCCAUGCUCAGCUUGUGGUUUCAGAAAACACUACACAGCCUUUUGCUAGCACAGCACUCAUCUCUGAGGUGGGUGGAGAAGGACUUCCAUGCACAUGGAGAUAAAGGCACCAGAGUGCUGGAUUGGAGGGGAAAAUCCCUCAGAGAAAUGGAGGAGUUAGCGGAGUUGCUAGAGGAGUGGGGAGUGGGAUUUUUCCCCUCUUCUGUAUUUUCAAGACCCCAUCAACAUGCAAUUCCCAUGGGGACUGGGAGGAGGCCUGAAUGAUAAAGUUGCUCAGCAUUAGUGUGAUUCACAUCUGGACAUUGCCUGUGACAAACUACAUCUUCCUACCAAUAAACCAGCUGCUCUCUAUAGCCUUUGAGGAAAAGAAGAGCCCAGAAGUUUUGCAUGUACUGGCAUA